rnacentral:rRNA from 1 species
GGUGGCCAAGGAGAGGUGGGUACACCCGAUUCCAUUCCGAACUCGGAAGUUAAGCACCUCAUCGCCGAUGAUACUGCAGUCUAAGCUGUGGGAAAGUAGGUCGCUGCC